UUGCCAGAGAUGGCUUCGUGCUCGAAAGAGAGCCGUAACACAGGUGCUGCAUGGCUGUCGUCAGCUCGUGUCGUGAGAUGUUGGGUUAAGUCCCGCAACGAGCGCAACCCUUGUCAUUAGUUGCUACGAAAGGGCACUCUAAUGAGACUGCCGGUGACAAACCGGAGGAAGGUGGGGAUGACGUCAAGUCCUCAUGGCCCUUAUAGGUGGGGCUACACACGUCAUACAAUGGCUGGUACAAAGGGUUGCCAACCCGCGAGGGGGAGCCAAUCCCAUAAAGCCAGUCGUAGUCCGGAUCGCAGUCUGCAACUCGACUGCGUGAAGUCGGAAUCGCUAGUAAUCGUGGAUCAGCAUGUCACGGUGAAUACGUUCCCGGGUCUU
rnacentral:rRNA from 1 species